rnacentral:rRNA from 1 species
UAGCCUGAAUAAGUGGCAAGCCCUACCUGAUCUUAGGUGAUCUUGAGAAGCUAAGCAGGGUCAUGCUUGGUUAGUACAUGGAUGGGACACCACUAGGAAACCCUAGUCUGCAGGGUAU